rnacentral:rRNA from 1 species
UACGUAGGUGGCGAGCGUUAUCCGGAUUUACUGGGUGUAAAGGGAACGUGGACGGCAUGGCAAGUCAGAUGUGAAAGCCCGGGGCUCAACCCCGGGACUGCAUUUGAAACUGUCAGGCUGGAGUGCAGGAGAGGUAAGCGGAAUUCCUAGUGUAGCGGUGAAAUGCGUAGAUAUUAGGAAGAACACCAGUGGCGAAGGCGAUUCUCUGGACUGUAACUGACGCUGAGGCUCGAAAGCGUGGGGAGCAAACAGG